RKKCGCCCUUAGAGUUUGAUCCUGGCUCAGAACGAACGCUGGCGGCGUGCUUAACACAUGCAAGUCGAACGUGAUCCAGAGCUUGCUCUGGUGAAAGUGGCGCACGGGUGAGUAACGCGUGGAUAACCUGCCCUGGUAUCUGGGAUAACAUCUCGAAAGGGGUGCUAAUACCGGGUAAGCCUACGGGAUCUUCGGAUUCUGCAGGAAAAGGAGGCCUCUAUUUAUAAGCUUCCGUAUCAUGAUGGGUCCGCGUACCAUUAGCUAGUUGGUGGGGUAAUGGCCUACCAAGGCGACGAUGGUUAGCUGGUCUGAGAGGAUGAUCAGCCACACUGGAACUGAGACACGGUCCAGACUCCUACGGGAGGCAGCAGUGGGGAAUUUUGCGCAAUGGGGGAAACCCUGACGCAGCAACGCCGCGUGAGUGAUGAAGGCUUUCGGGUCGUAAAGCUCUGUCAGAGGGGAAGAAAUGAAACGUGCUAAUAUCACGUUUUCUUGACGGUACCCUCAAAGGAAGCACCGGCUAACUCCGUGCCAGCAGCCGCGGUAAUAC
rnacentral:rRNA from 1 species